rnacentral:rRNA from 1 species
GAUGAACGCUGGCGGCGUGCCUAAUACAUGCAAGUCGAACGAAACUUCUUUAUCACCGAGUGCUUGCACUCACCGAUAAAGAGUUGAGUGGCGAACGGGUGAGUAACACGUGGGCAACCUGCCCAAAAGAGGGGGAUAACACUUGGAAACAGGUGCUAAUACCGCAUAACCAUAGUUACCGCAUGGUAACUAUGUAAAGGGUGGCUAUACUACCGCUUUUGGAUGGGCCCGCGGCGCAUUAGCUAGUUGGUAGGGUAAAGGCUUACCAAGGCAAUGAUGCGUAGCCGAAUUGAGAGGUUGAUCGGCCACAUUGGGACUGAGACACGGCCCAAACUCCUACGGGAGGCAGCAGUAGGGAAUCUUCCACAAUGGGCGAAAGCCUGAUGGAGCAACGCCGCGUGGGUGAAGAAGGUCUUCGGAUCGUAAAACCCUGUUGUUAGAGAAGAAAGUGCGUGAGAGUAACUGCUCACGUUUCGACGGUAUCUAACCAGAAAGCCACGGCUAACUACGUG